CGAGCGAGGUAGCAAUACCUAGCGGCAGACGGGUGCGUAACAUGUGGGAAUCUGCCUUUUGGUUCGGAGCAACAUUGGGAAACCGAUGCUAAUACUGGAUAAGCCCUUACGGGGAAAGUUUUAAUGCCAAAAGAUGAGCCCGCACUUGAUUAGCUAGUUGGUAAGGUAAUGGCUUACCAAGGCAACGAUCAAUAGCUGAUCUGAGAGGAUGAUCAGCCACACUGGGACUGAGACACGGCCCAGACUCC
rnacentral:rRNA from 1 species